UACGUAGGGUGCGAGCGUUGUCCGGAAUUACUGGGCGUAAAGAGCUCGUAGGUGGUUUGUCGCGUUGUUCGUGAAAACUCACAACUCAAUUGUGGGCGUGCGGGCGAUACGGGCAGACUAGAGUACUGCAGGGGAGACUGGAAUUCCUGGUGUAGCGGUGAAAUGCGCAGAUAUCAGGAGGAACACCGGUGGCGAAGGCGGGUCUCUGGGCCGAUACUGACGCUGAGGAGCGAAAGCGUGGGGAGCGAACAGG
rnacentral:rRNA from 1 species